GUCUUAGCCUACGGGGCACCAGCCUUCUAGUGUGCCCCUGCCCAACGGGAGGGAGGAGGGAGCGGGGAGCCCCGGCGAGGGAGGAGAGGGCGGGCCCUGAGAGGAGUUUGAAAAGAGGAAGGAAGUGGGGCCCUGCGGCGCCCAGCCACCCCCUGACGGCUUCCCCACGGGAGGACGCGAGGCCCCGGCCCAGCCAUGGCCCCCUGGCGUAAAGCUGACAAGGAGCGGCACGGCGUGGCCAUAUACAACUUCCAAGGCAGCGGAGCCCCCCAGCUCUCCCUGCAGAUCGGCGAUGUGGUGCGAAUACAGGAGACGUGUGGAGACUGGUAUAGGGGAUACCUCAUAAAGCACAAAAUGUUACAGGGCGUUUUUCCUAAGUCAUUUAUCCACAUCAAGGAAGUGACAGUUGAGAAAAGAAGAAAUACUGAGAACAUCAUUCCUGCAGAAAUUCCUCUGGCACAAGAAGUGACAACGACACUUUGGGAAUGGGGAAGCAUCUGGAAACAACUCUAUGUGGCCAGCAAAAAGGAGCGUUUUCUCCAGGUGCAGUCCAUGAUGUACGAUCUGAUGGAGUGGAGGUCCCAGCUUCUCUCAGGAACCUUACCCAAGGAUGAGCUGAAGGAACUGAAGCAGAAAGUCACGUCCAAAAUUGACUAUGGCAACAAAAUCCUUGAGCUUGAUUUGAUUGUCAGAGAUGAAGACGGAAAUAUCUUGGACCCUGAUAAUACCAGUGUCAUCAGCUUGUUCCAUGCACAUGAGGAAGCAACUGAUAAAAUCACAGAGCGUAUCAAAGAAGAAAUGUCAAAAGACCAGCCAGAUUAUGCAAUGUAUUCCCGGAUCUCCUCAUCCCCCACCCAUAGCCUCUAUGUGUUUGUGAGAAACUUUGUGUGCAGAAUUGGGGAAGAUGCUGAGCUCUUCAUGUCUCUCUACGACCCCAACAAGCAAACGGUCAUAAGUGAGAACUACCUAGUGCGAUGGGGCAGCCGGGGCUUCCCUAAGGAGAUUGAGAUGCUCAACAAUCUGAAGGUGGUCUUCACGGAUCUUGGAAACAAAGACCUCAACAGGGAUAAAAUUUACUUGAUUUGUCAAAUAGUCCGGGUCGGCAAGAUGGAUCUUAAGGAUACUGGUGCAAAGAAGUGCACGCAGGGACUGAGGAGGCCCUUUGGGGUGGCAGUUAUGGAUAUAACAGACAUCAUCAAGGGGAAAGCAGAGAGUGAUGAAGAAAAGCAGCACUUCAUUCCUUUUCACCCGGUUACAGCUGAGAAUGACUUCCUACACAGCCUGCUGGGCAAAGUCAUAGCCUCCAAGGGGGACAGUGGAGGGCAAGGCCUCUGGGUGACCAUGAAGAUGCUGGUGGGUGACAUCAUUCAGAUUCGCAAGGACUAUCCACACCUGGUGGACAGGACCACCGUGGUGGCCAGGAAGCUGGGAUUCCCAGAGAUCAUCAUGCCAGGGGAUGUCAGGAACGACAUCUACAUUACUCUCUUACAAGGUGACUUUGACAAGUACAACAAGACCACACAGAGGAAUGUGGAAGUCAUCAUGUGUGUGUGCGCGGAGGAUGGCAAAACGCUGCCUAAUGCAAUUUGCGUGGGAGCAGGGGACAAGCCCAUGAAUGAGUAUCGCUCCGUUGUGUACUAUCAAGUCAAACAGCCACGCUGGAUGGAAACAGUCAAGGUGGCUGUCCCUAUUGAAGACAUGCAGAGGAUCCAUCUGCGAUUCAUGUUUCGACAUCGGUCAUCUCUGGAAUCUAAAGAUAAAGGAGAAAAGAACUUUGCCAUGUCCUAUGUGAAGCUGAUGAAAGAAGAUGGGACUACUCUACACGAUGGAUUCCAUGACUUAGUUGUCCUCAAGGGGGACAGCAAGAAGAUGGAGGAUGCCAGCGCAUACCUGACCCUUCCUUCUUAUCGACACCAUGUGGAAAACAAGGGGGCCACGCUGAGCAGGAGCUCCAGCAGUGUUGGGGGGCUUUCUGUCAGCUCCCGGGAUGUGUUCUCCAUUUCCACCCUGGUGUGCUCCACAAAGCUCACUCAGAAUGUGGGCUUGCUGGGUUUGCUGAAGUGGCGUAUGAAGCCUCAACUGCUACAGGAGAAUUUAGAAAAAUUGAAGAUUGUGGAUGGAGAGGAAGUGGUGAAGUUUCUCCAGGAUACUCUGGAUGCCCUCUUCAACAUCAUGAUGGAGCAUUCUCAAAGUGAUGAAUAUGACAUCCUCGUCUUUGAUGCCUUGAUUUACAUAAUAGGACUCAUUGCAGACCGGAAAUUUCAGCAUUUCAACACCGUUCUGGAGGCUUACAUCCAACAGCAUUUCAGUGCGACCUUGGCUUACAAGAAAUUGAUGACAGUGCUGAAGACUUACUUGGAUACCUCCAGCAGAGGGGAGCAAUGUGAGCCAAUCCUAAGAACGCUGAAGGCUUUGGAAUAUGUGUUCAAGUUCAUUGUUCGGUCGAGGACAUUAUUUUCACAGCUUUAUGAAGGCAAAGAACAGAUGGAGUUUGAAGAAUCCAUGAGACGGCUCUUUGAAUCCAUCAACAAUCUGAUGAAAAGUCAAUACAAAACUACCAUCCUUUUGCAGGUGGCGGCUUUGAAAUACAUCCCAUCUGUCCUGCAUGAUGUAGAAACGGUCUUUGAUGCGAAGUUACUCAGCCAACUCCUGUAUGAGUUCUACACCUGCAUCCCUCCUGUGAAACUCCAGAAGCAGAAAGUACAGUCUAUGAAUGAGAUAGUCCAGAGCAACCUCUUUAAAAAGCAAGAAUGCCGGGACAUUCUGCUUCCUGUCAUCACCAAAGAGCUGAAGGAGCUGCUGGAGCAGAAGGAUGACAUGCAACACCAGGUCCUGGAGAAGAAGUACUGCGUUGAAUUGCUCAACAGCAUCUUGGAAGUCCUUAGCUACCAGGAUGCGGCCUUCACCUACCACCAUAUCCAGGAGAUCAUGGUCCAGCUGCUGCGGACAGUGAACCGGACAGUCAUCACCAUGGGCCGGGAUCACAUUCUGAUUAGUCACUUUGUGGCAUGUAUGACAGCCAUCUUAAACCAGAUGGGUGACCAGCACUACUCCUUCUACAUUGAGACCUUCCAGACCAGCUCUGAACUUGUGGACUUCUUGAUGGAGACCUUCAUCAUGUUCAAGGACCUCAUUGGAAAGAACGUGUACCCUGGAGACUGGAUGGCCAUGAGCAUGGUUCAAAACAGGGUCUUCCUGAGAGCUAUCAACAAGUUUGCAGAAACCAUGAACCAGAAGUUCCUAGAACACACGAACUUUGAGUUCCAGCUGUGGAACAACUAUUUUCAUCUGGCAGUGGCUUUUAUCACCCAGGAUUCUCUGCAGCUGGAGCAGUUCUCACACGCCAAGUACAACAAAAUCCUGAAUAAGUAUGGGGACAUGAGACGGCUAAUUGGCUUCUCCAUCCGUGAUAUGUGGUACAAGCUUGGUCAGAACAAAAUCUGCUUCAUCCCAGGCAUGGUAGGACCUAUAUUAGAGAUGACACUUAUCCCUGAGGCUGAGCUCCGGAAAGCCACCAUACCAAUCUUCUUCGACAUGAUGCUGUGUGAAUAUCAAAGAAGUGGGGAUUUCAAAAAGUUUGAAAACGAAAUCAUCCUGAAGCUGGACCACGAGGUAGAAGGGGGCCGAGGCGACGAGCAGUACAUGCAGCUGCUGGAGUCAAUCCUGAUGGAGUGUGCUGCAGAGCACCCAACCAUUGCCAAGUCGGUGGAGAACUUCGUGAACCUGGUCAAAGGCCUCCUGGAGAAGCUGCUGGAUUACCGGGGUGUGAUGACAGAUGAGAGCAAAGACAACCGCAUGAGCUGCACUGUGAACCUGCUGAAUUUCUACAAAGAUAACAACAGGGAGGAGAUGUACAUAAGGUACCUGUACAAACUCCGCGAUCUUCACCUGGACUGUGACAAUUACACAGAGGCUGCCUACACGCUCCUUCUCCACACCUGGCUUCUCAAGUGGUCGGAUGAGCAGUGUGCAUCACAGGUCAUGCAGACAGGCCAGCAGCACCCCCAGACACACCGGCAGCUCAAGGAGACGCUCUACGAGACCAUCAUAGGCUACUUUGACAAAGGAAAGAUGUGGGAAGAGGCCAUAAGUCUGUGCAAGGAGCUGGCGGAACAGUACGAGAUGGAGAUCUUUGACUAUGAGCUGCUCAGCCAGAACCUGAUCCAGCAGGCAAAAUUCUAUGAAAGCAUCAUGAAAAUCCUCAGGCCCAAACCAGACUACUUUGCUGUUGGAUACUACGGCCAGGGAUUCCCCUCCUUCCUGCGGAACAAAGUGUUCAUCUACCGCGGGAAGGAAUAUGAGCGAAGAGAAGAUUUCCAGAUGCAGCUGAUGACCCAGUUCCCCAAUGCAGAGAAGAUGAACACCACCUCUGCCCCGGGAGAUGAUGUGAAGAAUGCCCCAGGCCAGUAUAUCCAGUGCUUCACUGUCCAGCCUGUCUUGGAUGAACAUCCCAGGUUCAAGAAUAAGCCAGUGCCUGACCAGAUUAUAAAGAAAGCCUGUGCAAAAGCCACUCUUAUGGAGCCCAGAACACAGACCCUGAUUUUAAAUGCACCACAAGGGACUCUGCCAGGCCUGAAGUUUACUGUAAUGAACCUCCCUGGACAGUGCAGGGUCAGAUCGGGUGUCAGCAGCCGGGGAUGGCUACCAGGAGCCUCAGCCUCUUCCUGUCUUUCAGCUUCUACAAAUCCAACUACGUGCAAAGGUUCCACUACUCCCGGCCCGUGCGCAGGGGGACCGUAGACCCAGAGAAUGAGUUUGCUUCCAUGUGGAUUGAGAGAACCUCCUUCGUGACUGCAUACAAGCUGCCGGGGAUCCUGCGCUGGUUUGAGGUGGUGCACAUGUCGCAGACCACAAUUAGUCCUCUGGAGAAUGCCAUAGAAACCAUGUCCACGGCCAAUGAGAAGAUCCUGAUGAUGAUCAACCAGUACCAGAGUGAUGAGACCCUCCCCAUCAACCCACUCUCCAUGCUCCUGAAUGGGAUUGUGGACCCUGCUGUCAUGGGAGGCUUCGCCAAGUAUGAGAAGGCCUUCUUCACUGAAGAGUAUGUCAGGGACCACCCUGAGGACCAGGACAAGCUGACCCACCUCAAGGACCUGAUUGCAUGGCAGAUCCCCUUCUUAGGAGCUGGGAUUAAGAUCCAUGAGAAAAGGGUGUCAGAUAACUUGCGACCCUUCCAUGACCGGAUGGAGGAAUGUUUCAAGAACCUGAAAAUGAAGGUGGAGAAGGAGUACGGUGUCCGAGAGAUGCCUGACUUUGACGACAGGAGAGUGGGCCGCCCCAGGUCUAUGCUGCGCUCAUACAGACAGAUGUCCAUCAUCUCUCUGGCUUCCAUGAAUUCUGACUGCAGCACCCCCAGCAAGCCCAACUCAGAGAGCUUUGACCUGGAAUUAGCAUCACCCAAGACGCCGAGAGUGGAGCAGGAGGAACCGAUCUCCCCGGGGAGCACCCUGCCUGAGGUCAAGCUGCGGAGGUCCAAGAAGAGGACAAAGAGAAGCAGCGUAGUGUUUGCGGAUGAGAAAGCAGCUGCAGAGUCGGACCUGAAGCGGCUUUCCAGGAAGCAUGAGUUCAUGAGUGACACCAACCUCUCGGAGCAUGCGGCCAUCCCCCUCAAGGCGUCUGUCCUCUCUCAAAUGAGCUUUGCCAGCCAGUCCAUGCCUACCAUCCCAGCCCUGGCGCUCUCAGUGGCAGGCAUCCCUGGGUUGGAUGAGGCCAACACAUCUCCCCGCCUCAGCCAGACCUUCCUCCAACUCUCAGAUGGUGACAAGAAGACACUCACACGGAAGAAGGUCAAUCAGUUCUUCAAGACAAUGCUGGCCAGCAAAUCGGCUGAAGAAGGCAAACAGAUCCCAGACUCGCUGUCCACGGACCUGUGAGCUGCUGCUGACUAGGGCUGCAUGGGAGAGCCAGGGAGGGGAGUUUCUGGAAGAGGAAAGCCAUGCGUGGAACAUCGAAGCCUCAGAGAGUGGGAGACUGUCCCCAUCAGUUGUCCUUACUUAGAGGAGACAGAGAGGCCAAUCAGGUCCCAGAGCUUGAGUGCUAACAAGCCCAGCAUCCCCUGGGGCUGUGAUCAUGGUGGAUGAGGAAGCCUCAAUGUAGAUUCCUGAACUCAAGGUACCAGCAAGAAUGCCUUCUCCCAGUGUGCUCUCCCCAACAUCCUAGGCACAGCUUUCAUAACCCAGUUUCUUAGGUGUAAGAAACUGUUUUUAUCUCAUUUAUUAAGUCUCAGAACUUAACAGAAAAGGAAGCCUUUUAAAUAUUCUUUUUAAUUUUAUUUUAGAUUAACAGUUUUGUACUUUACAUUUUUUUAUACAACCAACCAGUUUCUUUUCUAGCCAAUCAUCUCUGAAGAGUUGCUGUUUCCUACUGACAAUAAAAAAUGUUCUCUUGGUUCGAA